rnacentral:misc_RNA from 1 species
GAUGAAGAACGCAGCGAAAUGCGAUAAGUAAUGUGAAUUGCAGAAUUCAGUGAAUCAUCGAAUCUUUGAACGCACAUUGCGCCCCCUGGUAUUCCGGGGGGCAUGCCUGUUCGAGCGUCAUUACAACCCUCAAGCUCUGCUUGGUAUUGGGCCCCGCCAGUUCUGGCGGGCCCUAAAGUCAGUGGCGGUGCCUUCCGGCUCCGAGCGUAGUAAUUCUUCUCGCUCUCGAGACCCGGUUGUGUGCUUGCCAACAACCCCCAAUUUUUUAAGGUUGACCUCGGAUCAGGUAGGGAUACCCGCUGAACUUAAGCAUAUCAAUAAGCGGAGGA